AUCACAAGGGCAAGCACCUGGAUGAUCUGAUGGAUACCAUUAGACAAAACAUCUUGAUUAAAUGGAAUAAUAGGAAAAGGUGUGCCCAAAAGUUUGAAGGGAAGAUUUUGCCUCAUAUAGUCCAGAAGUUGAGGGACGACAGCUAUAACCUUGACAUUGAAGUGAUCACAAGCUCACCUGAUGGCAUUGCUGAAAUUUGUGCUAAGGACUGUUCUGCCACUACAUACAGGUUUGUAGUCAAUUUAAUUGAGAGGACAUGCACCUGCAGGGCUUGGCAGGGUUCUGGGAUACCCUGCAAACAUGCCAUUGCCUACAUCACAUCAAUUCCUGGUAAUCACCUAGAAGACUAUGUGCAUGAGUACUACUCAAUUAAGAAAUUCAAAGUUGCAUACGAGGGUUCUAUCCCUAGUAUUCCAGAUAAAUCCAUGUGGCCCAAAGCCACACAUGGCUUCUUCAUGCAUCCUCCAUUUCUUAUGUCAACUGCUGGAAGAAGGAGAAAGAAUAGAAUGAAAUCAGCUAUGGAGGGAGGUAAUAGCAGAAAGAAGAAACAUAGGUGCCCGAUAUGCUAGGAGUUAGGGCACCAUUGGUACACUUGUAAGAAUGGGAAUCUAGAAGACAUAGCUGCAAUGGAGGCUGUGAGGGGCCCACCAAAGAAAAAGCUCAAGAAAGCAUCCACUUGUAGCACAGAGACUAGCAUUGUUGUGCCCAUUCCUGCAUCAGGGAUGGUCUUCCCACACAAUGAGGCAGUGGCCAAUGCUACACACAAGAAAAGGAAGAGAACAUCAUCUACAAAAACAGGUGUCACAAAAAGAAAAGGGACAUCAACCAGUACUUCGACAAGCACUGCCGAUACUAGGUCUACCAGAUCUGGAACUGGAUCCAAUGACCCUCUUCCUCUCCAAGUUUUGCAACCCGUGCCUCUUCUUCAAGACACAGGGUGCCCUGAAGCCACAGAACAUACAGUGCAGACACCAAGGAAGAAAUGUGCCAUCAAGAAAAACUUACACAAAAGAGGGCUCCUGCAGUUGUGGCAGCCAGCCCGUCCAGCCCCGCUUCAAAUACCACAAGCAAGAAGCAACUCCAGCUUGAAUAAAGUGUGAUUCCAAAGUGUUAUUUUGGCUGCAUCAUUUGUUUGUCAUGAAGCAUCAGUUUCCUUUGGCAUGGCCGUACUUAUGAUCUGGAGAACUAUUUCUUUUGUUGUGAUUUUUCAUGCCAUGUUUAUGUAAUUUAGGGCACUUCUCGUUUGCAAUUCUACUAUUUUUGUUGGUGAAUUGAACAAGUACUUGUUGCUGUGAAU